UAAUACAGAGGGUGCGAGCGUUAAUCGGAAUUACUGGGCGUAAAGCGCGCGUAGGCGGCUUCGCAAGUCGGAUGUGAAAUCCCCGGGCUUAACCCGGGAACUGCAUUCGAGACUGCGUUGCUAGAGUAUGGGAGAGGGAGGUGGAAUUUCAGGUGUAGCGGUGAAAUGCGUAGAUAUCUGAAGGAACAUCAGUGGCGAAAGCGACCUCCUGGACCAAUACUGACGCUCAUGUGCGAAAGCGUGGGGAGCAAACAGGAUUAGAUACCCUGGUAGUCCACGCCAUAAACGAUGAGAACUGGAUGUCGGAAGCAUUUGGCUUUCGGUGUCGUAGCUAACGCGUUAAGUUCUCCGCCUGGGGAGUACGGCCGCAAGGUUG
rnacentral:rRNA from 1 species